AGGCGAAGCCGCGAGGUGGAGCAAAUCCCAAAAAUAACGUCUCAGUUCGGAUUGUAGUCUGCAACUCGACUACAUGAAGCUGGAAUCGCUAGUAAUCGCGAAUCAGAAUGUCGCGGUGAAUACGUUCCCGGGCCUUGUACACACCGCCCGUCACACCAUGGGAGUCAGCAACGCCCGAAGCCGGUGACCCAACCGAAAGGAGGGAGCCGUCGAAGGUGGGGCCGAUAACUGGGGUGAAGUCGUAACAAGGUAGC
rnacentral:rRNA from 1 species